UUCUUCAUUCCUUUUCCGGCUGUCGACUUGGUGAGUUCAAUUUUUUUCUAGUUUGGAAGUCGGACAAAAAUUAAGAAAAAUAUCAAUUAAUUGGAAAAAGUGAAUUUGGAACAUAUAAAAAGUGUUAAUACUAGAAAAAAUAUUGUGUGAAAAGUAUAAUGGAAGCAAUAAUUAAAACUGAAGUUAAUGGUAGUGGCCCAUUGCCACAAAGACCACAGAAAAAUCAAGGUGGUGGCAACAAGAAUUUCAAUAAGCCUCAAAUGGAUGGUGGUCCAGCUGAAAAAAAGCCACGUUUCAAUCAAGGCGGUGGCAAUAAUAAUAACAAUAAUAAUCAGAACAACAGAGGAGGAUUUGGAAACAAAGGUUUUGGUAAUAAUAGAAAUAAUAACAAUAAUCGUAAUCGUGGUGGCGGAAAUAAUAGAGGAAAUUUCCAGAAUCAGCAGCAAAACCAGCAGCAACAACCACAAACACAAAAUCAACAACCCUCUGCUCAACAGCCUGCGUCAGAUGUUAAACCUGAAAAUGCAGCUAAAACUGAACCCAAAGCUAAUGAAGAGACCAAAAAUGCACCAUCAAAUAACCAACAACCACAACAACAACAGCAACCACAACAAAAUCAGCAAAAUCAUAACAAUAACAUGAAUAAACAAGGUGGUGGAAACAAUAAUAUGGGAGGAGGCGGAGGCGGCAAUCGCGACCGUGGUCAAAAGCGCGAUCGUCACUUUGAUGGCCCACGUGGAGGCGGUGGUGGUCGUGAUGGUCCCAGAGGCGCAAUGGGUGGUGGAGAUGGUGGCAACCGUGGCGGCCCAGGUCGUAAUGAUGAGUUCUUUAUAGGCCAACGUUUGCGUGCCAUAGCCGGCCCAACUCAUGAACUACCACCAAUUGAGAACACAGAGGAAACAAAAUUCUCUGGUCGAAAUCGUCUCUACGUUGGUAAUUUAACAAACGAUGUCACCGAAGAAGAUUUGCGUGAGCUUUUCAAACCUUUCGGUGAAAUUGGUGAGGUUUUUAGCAAUCCUGAAAAGAACUUUGCUUUCUUAAAAAUGGAUUUCCAUGCCAAUGCUGAGCGCGCAAAACGUGAGUUGGACGGUACUUUACGCAAGGGUCGCAUGUUGCGUGUACGUUAUGCACCAAAUUCUACAGUUUUACGCGUUAGCAAUCUUACACCAUUUGUAUCUAAUGAAUUGUUGUACAAGUCAUUUGAAAUAUUUGGACCCGUCGAAAGAGCUUGUGUCAACGUUGAUGAUCGUGGUAAAUCCACCGGAGAGGGUAUAGUUGAGUUUGCCAAGAAAUCAUCGGCUAAUGUUUGUUUGCGUUUCUGUAGUGAAAAGUGUUUCUUCCUCACUGCUUCUCUGAGGCCAUGUGUGGUUGAGCCUUUUGAUGCCAACGAAGACACAGAUGGUUUGCCCGACAAGUCUCUAAACAAAAAGUUGCCAGAAUUCAAUCACGAACGUAAUGUUGGUCCUCGUUUCGCUGAUGUUGGUAGCUUUGAACAUGAAUACGGUACCAGGUGGAAGCAAUUGCACGAAUUGUUCAAGACUAAACAGGAGGCUUUGAAACGUGAAUUAAAAAUGGAAGAAGAAAAAUUGGAAGCACAAAUGGAAUAUGCUCGUUAUGAGCACGAGACAGAACUUCUAAGACAAGAAUUACGCAAACGCGAAUCUGACAAUGAACGCAAGAAAAUGGAAUGGGAAAUGCGUGAAAAACAAGCUGAAGAAUUGCGUAAACGUGACGAAGAGCAAAUGCGUCGUCAACAAAGUGAAAUGCAAUCUCGCAUGUUGCGUCAAGAAGAGGAAAUGCGUCGCCGCCAACAAGAAAACACAUUGUUCAUGCAAGCCCAACAAUUGAAUUCUAUUUUAGAUCAACAAGAGGGUGGCUUCAGUGGAAAUUGUAGCAAUUUCGAUAACUUUGGCGGUGGCAAUAACUCGCCAUUCGAUUUCCGUGGCAACAACGGUGGUAAUGGCGGAAAUAAUGGUCCCAAUGGACCCAAUAACCAACAGAGAAAUGAUUGGAAAUAUUCUGCAGAUUUCUACCACACAACAUGAUUAAUACUGGGCAAUGACAAACAUGGAAUUAAAUAUAUAAAAGGGUUUUAAGGGCCUUUGAACAUGUAGCAAAUUACUGCGGUUUACUAAAAGUUCCGCGAGGUCAUGAACGAAAGGAUAAAUCAUACGUCUCUAUUUGAAAUAAAAGUUUUAACGGAAUAGAAAUGAUGCAACAUGGGUCAUAGACACUUAAAGUGUUUAAUAUUUUGACAUCAUCUUAAAUGCUUGGUUGGACAGUUAUUUCUUACAUUAUGCAGUUGUUUUAUACCAAAUGAAAAUCAGAAACUUUAACCAACAUAUUUAACAAUUAAUGCAGCUGAAUUUUACUUUCUUGAAAUCAGAUGCUGUAAAUUGUUAUUUUUUAUAAACAAUAUAAUUUUACGUUGUACAGCUGGAGUAGUUGAAGCGAUCAGCAAUUGUUAUUUGUGGAACUAUUUGUUUGGAUUACAUCAACAAAAUAUUAAG